UACCAGCACCCCGAGUGGUCUGGACGAUUCUUGGGCCUAAAGCCUCCGUAGCCGGCCUUACAAGUCCUCCGUUAAAUCCAGCUGCUUAACAGAUGGGCUGCGGAGGAUACUAUAAGACUAGGAGGCAGGAGAGGCAAGCGGUACUCAGUGGGUAGGGGUAAAAUCCGUUGAUCCAUUGAAGACCACCAGUGGCGAAGGCGGCGUGCCAGAAUGCGCUCGACGGUGAGGGAGGAAAGCUGGGGGAGCAAACCGG
rnacentral:rRNA from 1 species